GGGGCUGGAGAGAUGGCUCAGAGGUUAAG
rnacentral:piRNA from 2 species